AUUGAACGCUGGCGGCAGGCCUAACACAUGCAAGUCGAGCGGGGUUUUCGGACCUAGCGGCGGACGGGUGAGUAAUGCGUAGGAAGCUGCCCGAUAGAGGGGGAUACCAGUUGGAAACGACUGUUAAUACCGCAUAAUGUCUACGGACCAAAGUGUGGGACCUUCGGGCCACAUGCUAUCGGAUGCGCCUACGUGGGAUUAGCUAGUUGGUGAGGUAAUGGCUCACCAAGGCGACGAUCUCUAGCUGGUUUGAGAGGAUGAUCAGCCACACUGGAACUGAGACACGGGCCGGACUCCUACGGGAGGGAGAAGUGGGGAAUAUUGGACAAGGGGCGCAAGCCUGAUCCAGCCAUGCCGCGUGUGGGAAGAAGGCCUUCGGGUUGUAAAGCACUUUCAGCGAGGAGGAAGGGGUGUGUGUUAAUAGUACACACCUUUGACGUUACUCGCAGAAGAAGCACCGGCUAACUCUGUGCCAGCAGCCGCCGUAAAAC
rnacentral:rRNA from 1 species